GACGAACGCUGGCGGCGUGGAUUAGGCAUGCAAGUCGAACGGUAGGAUACCUUCGGGUAUCUGAGAGUGGUGAACGGGUGAGUAACACGUAGGUGAUCUACCCUCAAGAUUGGGACAACCCAGGGAAACUUGGGCUAAUACCGGAUGAAAGCAGCAGUGAUGUUGUUUGAAAGGUGGCGUAAGCUGCCGUUUGGGGAUGAGCCUGCGCUCUAUUAGUUAGUUGGCGGGGUAAAGGCCCACCAAGGCGAUGAUAGAUAGGCGGCCUUAACGGGUGGUCGCCCACACUGGGAUUGAGAUACGGCCCAGACUCCUACGGGAGGCAGCAGUCGAGAAUAGUCUACAAUGGCCGAAAGGCUGAUAGUGCGACGCCGCGUGAACGAAGAAGCCCUUCGGGUGUAAAGUUCUUUUAUAUGUGAGCAGUGCUUUCUAUGUGAACAGCAUGGGGAGAGAGAUAUUAGCAUAUGAAUAAGCAACGGCUAACUCCGUGCCAGCA
rnacentral:rRNA from 1 species